UCUGAUAUUGAGGUUCUGAUAUUGAGGUUCUGCAGUGAGUUUCUGUUAAUGAGGUUCUGCAGUGAGGUUCUGUUAGUGAGGUUCUGCAGUGAGUUUCUGUUAAUGAGGUUCUGCAGUGAGGUUCUGUUAGUGAGGUUCUGCAGUGAGGUUCUGUUAGUGAGGUUUUGUUAGUGAGGUUCUGCAGUGAGGUUCUGUUAGUGAGGUUCUGCAGUGAGGUUCUGUUAGUGAGGUUUUGUUAGUGAGGUUCUGUUAGUGAGGUUCUGCAGUGAGGUUCUGUUAGUGAGGUUUUGUUAGCGAGGUUCUGUUAGUGAGGUUCUGCAGUGAGGUUCUGUUAGUGAGGUUCUGCAGUACUACAGUUGUCUGUAAUGAAGCUCAGUGAACAGCAGAGGGCGCUCUGAUACAACUAAACUACAGAUCAGGUCUGGGAUAAAAAAGCAGAUCCAGAGGCGCCGUUUAAUCUUUAAACACAACAUGAUACAAAAUAAUAAACUGUAAAAAAACUAUAUAAAAUACAGUGAAAAAACCUGAAUUAUAGUAACUAUUUAUUUAUUUAAAAAAAAUCAUAAAUAUAAAUACUAAAUAAAUCACUGUAUAAUACCUCACCCUGAACAUCCCAUAAUCACACACUCCACCCAGAACACGCCCACUGAUUUACAUACCACCAGCUUAACCAAUCAGAACUGAUAUAAAAUAAUCCUGAACAUUAAUAUUUAACUCAAUCAUUUUACUACGAUUUCAUCGCUCUCACACACACACACACACACACACUCACACACACACACACACUCUCACACUCUCACA